GCCAUAAGGCAGGGCUGGGGAAAGGCCUCAGGAGCUGGGAAGCCCUAGGCCAGCAACUCUCCAGGCUACAGGGCCUGGUCCCAGGCCCAUAUAGGUUAGUGAGCACACCUAGCAGCUCGCCAUUCUGGAGUGUAACUGCCCAUGUGACCAAGAUGGAUACAUGCUGCGACGUGCCAUGCCUAGAGUACACAGGAGGUAUUGGAUCUCCAAAGCCUGUGGGAAGAAGAGGUUGUGCAGGCAUACCUCCAAUCCAGCUGUAGAAACAUAGUCAUCUACGAGCAGAUUGCUCAGAGGAUACAGGAGAAGGGCUACAACAGGGACCAGAAGCAGUGCCACAUGAAAGUCAAGGAGCUGCAGCAAGCAUGCCAGAAGGCCAACAAUCAAACCAGUGCUGAGCAGCAGUCCUGCCACUUUUACAAAGAGCUGCAAGCCAUCCCCGGCGGACACCCCACCCCCAAGAGCACUUGGGAUAAUUUUGAGGAGCCUGAGUCACAAGCUUCUGCCAUGAACAGAGAGGAGGGAAAGGUAGACAAGUAUGGGGGACAGGUGACCAGGGGGAUUAAUGAUCAAUGAUCCAGGACCUGCUUUUAACUCCACCACAGUCCAGCCAGUCCCGACAGUCGAACACAAACAAGCCUGAUGCAGGAGAAAGAACCUCUGCUGUUGCCAUUGUGGCCUUUAGGGUCUCCCCCUCCACAACCACGGAAAAGAAGGAGAAAGAAGAAGACUCAGGAUGCCAUGUUCCAGGAGAUCCUGCAAGUCAGUGCUGUAUCGGAGAACGAGCAUAGGGCCUGAAGGAUCACCCUUACAGACAGCCUGGCGAAAGAUAGAAUGGAGAGGAGAAAGGCACAGGAAACGGAGAAGGACAUGCAGCAGGAGAUGCCUGCAUUUCUCAGAUAGAAAACAAAGAUGCUGCAGACUAUGGUAAACCUGCAGGUACAGGGCUGUACUCGCCUCGCUCUGCAGCCUAUAGAGAACUCAAUAUCGGGACCUCCCUAUAGCCCUCUCCUCAACAUUCCAUGUGGCAUCAGGGGUCGGUGCACUACCCUUACCACUCCACUUGGGGACAUUAAAAACAAUCACUGUCCUGUGAAAGCCACAGUUGGUGUAUGUGUACCUGAAAUAGAAAUGGGUGUUCUUUCCCCUUCAUAAGUUCUAUUCCCUUAAUUUAUUAA